CCGUGUAUCACAGGGCCGCAAUUCCAAGACAAAAACUCCGUCCGCCCUGUUCUCUGCCAGAGGUGCUGCCAUUAUUAUUUUCUGCUUUUUUGACUAUUCUUGUGACGUUAUCAUCAUUUUGUUCGCUCCUUUUUCUGAAGCCUGUUCGCGUUUUUUCGUUUUUUUUUUCUCAGGUGUGUCUGGUCGAAAGCAGCACGGCACAGCCAUGCCAGCUGUCACGCUUGCGCAGCAAUGUAGAUUCCGGCAUGUGCUCUGGUGCGCUUGCCUUAUAGUUCUACUGGGCCUUUCGCUCGGCUCUUCACCGACACUUGUGACGGCUCAAGACGAGCCGGCGCGUGACGGCAUUGCGCCGCUGCCCGAGGGCGCGCAGCAGGCGGAGUUCGAGUUAGCCAUGCCAGUUCCUGUAGCAGAGUAUGUGGAUCCUGUAGGGCCUUCCGAGCGUCCUAGGGAAGCUGUCGUCGAGGUUUCGGUUGAGGUCCCGCUCGAUGACGGCGCUGUUGCCGAGCACGAUGUAUCGGAUGCACCACACGCUGAUGCUGAAGAGCAGAGAGUGAUUGAGGAGGCCAGGAUGGCUGAAGCGAGCCUAGAGGCCGCGGAGACGCGAAGGGACGUGCAGGCGGAGCGAGAAGAGGAUAGGCGACUCGAGGAAAAUGAGAGAACGGCGGCGGAAACGCAGAGCCCUUCAGAAGAAGCCGCAGCACAGAAGGCGGUGGAAACUCAAAGAUCCGUUGAAGCUGCAAUGGAGGAGGAGCCCUUUCCGUCGACGGUCCGUGUGUCGGCUGAGGAAAACGGUGCCCAGCCAUCAGGCAGUGGCGCUUUUCAUUCAGAAGACCUCGCGCAAGAAGCAGCGGUACACCAUGAUGAGCAGUUGCCACCGCCGGCUGACUCAGUGAUGGAGGUAGAGCCCUCAUCUUCAACGGAUGCCGCGACCCUCGACACGCAUUUGCCCACGAAAGAGAAGGGGAACAAACACAUGGCCGAGGGGACCAAGAGGGCAGAAGCUCAAAUCGCUGCGGAGGCGCAGCAGGCGGAUACGGCCCCUCACCUUGAGGAGAUGCCCAAGGCGGCCGAAGCCAGUGCGGCCGAAGAGGCGAAGCAGUUGGGGGAAACGAGGGUUGUCCAGGAGUUACAAAAAAAGGAGCAAGUCCGCAUAGCUGAAGAAGCGGCUCGGCAGGCCGAGGAGGCGGCUCGCCAGGCUGAAGCGGCUCUCCAAGCUGAGGAAGCGCAGAAAGAUGAGAAGGAAAGGCUUGCUGAGGAACGUCGCAAAGGCGAGGAGGCUCGCCUAGCACGAGAGGCACAACGCGCGGACGCGCAAAGGGCCGAAGAAGAAGCGCGACGUGCAGAAACGAGGAGGAAGGCGGAGGAGAAACGUCAGGUUGAUGCGGCAGAGGCCCAAAGGCGGCUGAAGACAGAACGGAAGCCGGUGGUUGCCAAGAUAGACGAGGAAAGGGUGCGGUUCCGGACAGCCGCAUCCGACCUCAUAACACAGCAGGAGGUGGCGAAGUCGUCUGCGGCGCGGCGCCACAGGGCCGUCGCCACCGAACUGCAGAAGUCCAUGGAGAAAAAGCUCGAGGCCCUCCAGCAAGAUCUCGUCACGCUGGGGCGUGUCUCGGUGACGCUUCGCGGCAGGGUGAGCGCGCUCUUGCACAGUAGUACACUUACGCAGGUGCAGGAGGACGCCCAGGCGUUGGAUGAGGUGGUGGUGAAGGCGGGUGAGACGCUCGAUAGCAUUCGCGAGGCCGCCGACUCACUCGCGGAUGCGGCGCGUGCGGCUGUGGGGAAUCAGAAAGACGCCCCUGCUACAACCGCAGAGAAGAUCACGCUACUAGCGAAGCAGAAGAUGGCACUGGAAACUGCCCGCGACGCUGCAAUCCAGCACUUCCUGGAGCGCCUGCAGGCCAUUGACUCACAGCUUGUAGAGGCGGCGGAGCAGACAGAGACAGAAGAGACAGCGGUUGCAGGGCCUGCCGAGGCUGCUGAGGGCCUGGCCACUCCUCCUCUGUCGCCUGUUGCACCUGCAGGAGUGGAGGCACCACAAGAGGUAGUGUCGCUGCCCUCCGAGGCUCCCCGACCAGUGGGGACCUCCACACAUGCUCCGACUCCCUCCGCUCCCCGAGCAGAGCCAUGGGUGAACUCGCCAAAGCACGCAGAGGAGAGCCACAGCCGAUACCGCGGCGAGCUGAGCGAAACGCCGGCAAAUCGGGGCGGGGAAGAAGGCUACAGCGAAAGCAGUUACGAGGCCUACCACCGCGAGGGCGGCGCACCGUACAAGGUGAAGCGGCACAUGGAGAUUGCUGGCACAGUGGUGGUGAUUACUAUCGCUGCAACCGUGCAGACCCUCCGCUGGUGCCGCAGCGGGUGUCGCUGUGGCGAGGAGGAGGAUGAGGAGACCUCCGAGGAUGUGACACCAGAACUUCAAGCAAGAGAGACAUCCUUGGCAUCCCCACAGAAGUCGCCCCCUCAGAGCGGCGGACCGUUGCAGCAGCGGCCGCAGGCAUCACCGCUGUCUACGUUGCGACCUCGCGGAGCCAACGCAGGACCCGACCGAAAUGGCAUGGAGUUGCCGAGUCGCUGGGAAAGCGGCAACAUUCCGCCUCCGUCGCAGCGCGGCACGCCAUCCGCCUCUUCCGAGCAAAUGCGCUUGCCUGCCGAGGAGGGCGACAUCCUUUCGCCGACACCCGUGUUGCGUCACCACCCGGACGCCUUUCCGCUCGGUGCCCCGGUGCCGGGCAGGCCUGGAGUCACCCGAAGACCUCCACAUGGGACCCCGCCUCUCGACACUGCACGCGCGCCGCCACCCCCGGGUACGACAUCCCCAUUUACGCCGUCUCGAAACGAGGCACUGGGCAUAUCUCUUACUCCCACGCAGCGGCAGCUGCCGCUACCUGGCGGGCAGUUUGGUGGCCCGUCUUCGCCACCACUGUCGGGCCACCCGUCAAUGGCGGGAACACCACUGCAGAUGCACCGCCGCCAAAGCAAUGGUGACGACUUUGAGCUGCGCAACCCCUUUCUCUCGCGUUGGUCGUAGAAGAGCAGGGGGCGUGGCGUUUCAAGGUAGGAGGGUGUUAUUGUGCUGAAGUCUCUCUGUCUUCCACUCUCUUUGUGGACGGAAACCCGAGGGCACGGGCUUGGACGGCGGUGCUGCUGGUCUCGCCUCCCGUUCCCUCUUUAAAUCUGCUGGCAUGGCGGUUGACUGCUGUGCAUCGGACCAUCGUUUCUCGUCGCCUCCUUUUUUUUCGAUUUCGCUUCUCUUUUUUCAAAUCCUUUCCUCUCCAUGCUUUCCGCUUCUUCUCUGGUUGCAUUGCUGCCGCGUGGUGUCUUGUGCGUGACG
rnacentral:misc_RNA from 1 species